GAUGAACGCUGGCGGCGUGCCUAAUACAUGCAAGUCGAGCGAACGGACGAGAAGCUUGCUUUUCUGAUGUUAGCGGCGGACGGGUGAGUAACACGUGGAUAACCUACCUAUAAGACUGGGAUAACUUCGGGAAACCGGAGCUAAUACCGGAUAAUAUUUUGAACCGCAUGGUUCAAAAGUGAAAGACGGUCUUGCUGUCACUAAUAGAUGGAUCCGCGCUGCAUUAGCUAGUUGGUAAGGUAACGGCUUACCAAGGCAACGAUGCAUAGCCGACCUGAGAGGGUGAUCGGCCACACUGGAACUGAGACACGGUCCAGACUCCUACGGGAGGCAGCAGUAGGGAAUCUUCCGCAAUGGGCGAAAGCCUGACGGAGCAACGCCGCGUGAGUGAUGAAGGUCUUCGGAUCGUGAAACUCUGUUAUUAGGGAAGAACAUAUGUGUAAGUAACUGUGCACAUCUUGACGGUACCUAAUCAGAAAGCCACGGCUAACUACGUG
rnacentral:rRNA from 1 species